UCAUAUCAUCAUAUUUUGUAAGAUUUUUAUUUUCAGCCGUUGAUUUUGAGCCACUUUGAAGUUUGAUCACUAGGCAAAUGAUAUCGAAAAAUCGCAAAAUUUAUUUUCUAGAUACUUCAAAUGCUCUAGAUCAAGUCUAACGAAGCCGAUCGUCGAUUUGAAAGUCCGAACAUCAAAAACAAAGUGAAAGCACGAAGCCCUCCGUGCUUCCAUAAGCAUCCUAGCCGCACUCUUAUUUUUGGUAAUAUUUUUUACGACAAGU
rnacentral:lncRNA from 1 species